UACAGAGGGGGCAAGCGUUGUUCGGAAUUACUGGGCGUAAAGGGCGCGUAGGCGGAUAGAUAAGUCGGGCGUGAAAUCCCCAGGCUCAACCUGGGAACUGCACUCGAAACUGUUUAUCUUGAGUGCCGGAGAGGAAAGCGGAAUUCCUGGUGUAGAGGUGAAAUUCGUAGAUAUCAGGAGGAACACCGGUGGCGAAGGCGGGUCUCUGGGCAACAACUGACGCUGAGGAGCGAAAGCGUGGGGAGCGAACAGG
rnacentral:rRNA from 1 species